CAAGGAUGCAUAGUAAGACAGACAGACAUACAGGAAUCUAGGGACAGGCCUGCAGAGGCCCUUGCUGUGCCUAGCAGGGGGUAGCCACCAUACCCUAGGAGACACACUUCAAGACAUCUUUCCUCACAAUCACUCUCUUGAAAAUAACUUUUGUCUUAAAUGAGCAAAACUAGGGAAAAGCAAACUGAUUUUUCUACACGGGGUGGACACAGCCUCUGUCCCUUCAUGCUUCCCCUCUCUCUCAAAGCCUAAGGGUAGCCCCAGCCCUUCUGGCUUAGGUAUAUGGAAGGCUCUGCAGGCAGGAGGGCCU